UUGGAGGGCAAGUCUGGUGCCAGCAGCCGCGGUAAUUCCAGCUCCAAUAGCGUAUAUUAAAGUUGUCGCAGUUAAAAAGCUCGUAGUUGAAUUUCGGAGUUUGUCGGUCGGUCGGGCUUCACUGUCCGCACUGGCCUGACGGAUUCCUACCUUCUGAAUAACCAGCAUACUAUUAAGUUAGUGCGUUGGGGAAGCAGAGCUAUUACCUUGAAAAAAUUAGAGUGCUUAAAGCAGGCUUAUGCUUGAAUAGAUUAGCAUGGAAUAAUAAAAUAGGACGGCAUGGUUCUAUUUUGUUGGUUUCUAGGAUCACCGUAAUGAUUAAUAGGGAUAGUUGGGGGCAUUAGUAUUCAAUUGUCAGAGGUGAAAUUCUUGGAUUUAUUGAAGACUAACUUCUGCGAAAGCAUUUGCCAAGGAUGUUUUCAUUAAUCAAGAACGAAAGUUAGGGGAUCGAAGACGAUCAGAUACCGUCGUAGUCUUAACCAUAAACUAUGCCGACUAGGGAUCGGAUGAUGUUAAUUAUUAUAACUCAUUCGGCGCCUUACGGGAAAC
rnacentral:rRNA from 1 species